CCUACGGGUGGCUGCAGUAAGGAAUAUUGGUCAAUGGACGCAAGUCUGAACAAGCCAUGCCGCGUGGAGGAUGAAGGUCCUCUGGAUUGUAAACUUCUUUUAUUUGGGAAGAAACUCCCGAUUUCCAUCGGGAUUGACGGUACCAGAUGAAUAAGCACCGGCUAACUCCGUGCCAGCAGCCGCGGUAAUACGGAGGGUGCAAGAGUUACUGGGAUUAACGGGGGCGAAGGGGGGCGGGUAUGGCCGGGGUGAAAUCUCCGGGCUUAACCCGGAAACUGCCAUUGCUACUAUUUGUCUUGAAUACUCUGGAGGUGAGCGGAAUAUGUCAUGUAGCGGUGAAAUGCUUAGAUAUGACAUAGAACACCCAUUGCGAAGGCAGCUCACUACGGAAAUAUUGACGCUGAGGCACGAAAGCGUGGGGAUCAAACAGGAUUAGAUACCCCUGUAGUC
rnacentral:rRNA from 1 species